rnacentral:tRNA from 2 species
GGGUGUAGCUCAAUUGGUAGAGCACCGGUCUCCAAAACCGGGGGCUACGGGUUCGAUUCCUGUCACCC